UCUACGUGAGGCAGCAGUGAGGAAUAUUGGUCAAUGGACGAGAGUCUGAACCAGCCAAGUAGCGUGAAGGAUGACUGCCCUAUGGGUUGUAACCUUCUUUUAUAAAGGAAUACAACGAGGCACGUGUGCCUUUUUGCAUGUACUUUAUGAAUAAGGAUCGGCUAACUCCUUGCCAGCAGCCGCGGUAAUACGGAGGAUCCGAGCGUUAUCCGGAUUUAUUGGGUUGAAAGGGAGCGUAGAUGGGUUGUUAAGUCAGUUUUGAAAGUUUGCGGCUCAACCGUAAAAUUGCAGUGGAUACGGGCAGUCUUGAGUACAGUUGAGGUAGGCGGAAUUCGUGGUGUAGCGGUGAAAUGCUUAGAUAUCACGAAAAACCCCGAUUGCGAAGGCAGCUUACUAAACUGUGACUGACAUUGAUGCUCGAAAGUGUGGGUAUCAAACAGGAUUAGAUACCCUAGUAGUC
rnacentral:rRNA from 1 species